GAAAUGUGAUAAGUAAUGUGAAUUGCAGAAUUCAGUGAAUCAUCGAAUCUUUGAACGCACCUUGCGCUCUCUGGUAUUCCGGAGAGCAUGUCUGUUUGAGUGUCAUGAACUCUUCAACCCAUCAGUUUCUUGUAGACUGUGUGGUGUUUGGUUUCUGAGCGUUGCUGGAGUCCCUUUACUGGGAAUCGAGCUCGCUUCAAAUGUAAUAGCAUCUCACGUUGAUCCCAUGGAUUGACUCAGCGUAAUAGACAAUUUCGCUGAGGACACUUCGGUGGCCAUGGACAAAGAGAGAAGCUCAUAAUACCAAUAGUCAUCUAUGAUUAGACCUCAGAUCAGGCAGGAUUACCCGCUGAACUUAA
rnacentral:misc_RNA from 1 species